rnacentral:rRNA from 2 species
UUGGARRARRGUUGAUCCUGGCUCAGGAUGAACGCUGGCGGCGUGCCUAAUACAUGCAAGUCGAGCGAACUGAUUAGAAGCUUGCUUCUAUGACGUUAGCGGCGGACGGGUGAGUAACACGUGGGCAACCUGCCUGUAAGACUGGGAUAACUCCGGGAAACCGGAGCUAAUACCGGAUAACAUUUUYUCUUGCAUAAGAGAAAAUUGAAAGAUGGUUUCGGCUAUCACUUACAGAUGGGCCCGCGGUGCAUUAGCUAGUUGGUGAGGUAACGGCUCACCAAGGCAACGAUGCAUAGCCGACCUGAGAGGGUGAUCGGCCACACUGGGACUGAGACACGGCCCAGACUCCUACGGGAGGCAGCAGUAGGGAAUCUUCCGCAAUGGACGAAAGUCUGACGGAGCAACGCCGCGUGAGUGAUGAAGGCUUUCGGGUCGUAAAACUCUGUUGUUAGGGAAGAACAAGKACAAGAGUAACUGCUUGUACCUUGACGGUWCCUAACCA